rnacentral:lncRNA from 1 species
GCCUUUAAAACCUAACCUCCCUCUCUAUCACUUAUUCAAUCACCAAACCAAAAACCCUCUUCUUUCUCAUUCUCAUUUCUCACCCUCCAUCUUUUUUAGCAACUACAAAAUUCUCAUAGGUGUAUACCUUUGUGUUCCUCAAAGAAAACAAAAAAGAAAAACAUGCCUCCAGCCAUGCCAGAUUUCUCUAACACAUUGAAGCUCAAGUAUGUGAAACUUGGUUACCAAUACCUUGUGAACCACAUUGUCACCCUCACCCUUGUUCCCAUUAUGGCUGCGAUUUUCAUUGAGGUACUACGUUUAGGUCCUGAUGAAAUACUCAACCUUUGGAAUUCUCUUCAUUUUGAUCUUGUCCAAAUUCUAUGCUCCUCUUUCCUCAUAAUCUUCAUAGGCACUGUGUACUUUAUGUCUAAGCCACGAACAAUCUACCUUGUUGACUAUGCUUGUUUCAAGCCACCUGUUACGUGUCGUGUCCCUUUUGCUACAUUCAUGGAACACUCAAGGCUUAUACUGAAGAACAACCCGAAGAGUGUUGAGUUUCAAAUGAGGAUUCUUGAGCGAUCUGGCCUUGGCGAAGAGACUUGUUUGCCUCCUGCAAUUCAUUACAUCCCACCAAAACCAACCAUGGAAAAUUCUAGAGGUGAAGCUGAGCUUGUUAUUUUCUCGGCCAUGGAUUCAUUGUUACAAAAAACUGGUCUCAAGCCUAAGGAUAUAGACAUUCUUAUUGUCAAUUGCAGCCUUUUCUCCCCUACUCCUUCUUUGUCUGCUAUGGUGAUUAACAAGUAUAAGUUUAGAAGCAAUGUUAAAAGCUUUAACCUCUCAGGGAUGGGUUGUAGUGCUAAUAAAGAUAUAUCGACUCAUAUAUUAUUUGGACUUGUCUCCAUAAUAUAUCAUAUAUUAUUUGGACUUGUCUCCAUAAUAUAUCAUAUUUUAUUUGACUUAAUUGUAUUUAUCAUAUUUUUUGUUCACAAAAAUACACUUAUUUCUCAUGCAGGGGUGAUCAGUGUAAUAAAAGUAUAAAAAAUGAGGGGUUUAUAUAGGUGUAAAAAAGUGAUGUAAUAGUUUGUAUAUUUUCACUAAAACUCAGGGGUGUAUCAAUGUAAUUUACUCUAAAAACAAAUAAAGAUCCUCAAUUUUAAUUAAAUAUGAUUUAUUAUAAAUAUAAUAACUAACAAAGAAUGAAAGUAAUAAUUUGACUGAAUGUCUAUGUUAACUAAUUUCAUCGUUGAAGAAUAUUGAAUAGUCAAUGCUAUUUAUUAAUUGUUGACACAGAGUUUGGCUUGUUUGUGUUAAUCCAAAGUAGUAGAGUAUGGCUGUAUAAAGAUCUAUAAUAGAUCCUAAUUCCGUGGAUGCUUUUUAAAUGGGUGUAAUAUAUAUGUAGGAAAACAUAUAGUAUUUAUUACAAACACCACAUUAUUUGUAAUUUAUUUAUAUUACCGAAGAAUCAAUAAUAAAUAAUAUAUUGAUAAUAUAUUAAAAUUUUACAAUGUUAACGUGUAUAUAUUAUUCACUUUCAAAUAUAAAGGAACUUCAUAUGGAUUAAAUAAAGAUAGAAUUUCUAUCUCAAAGUGUAACAAACUAUGAGCGCAAGACCCUAUCAGAAGUUAGACUAUAUCUUCUAUUCAUAAUGUAUUAUUUCAUAUAUUAUAAAUCGUUUUUGAUUUAAAAAGUAUAUAUUUAAAUUAAAAUUUUAAUUAUUAAAUAAUAUGUGAAAUAAGAAUUAUUAUGGAAAUUAAUACUAAAGUUAAGUGAGCGUUGAGUGACGUGAAGUGUUUCAUUAAAUCCCUUCAUCUGCCACCUUCAGUGCAUGGGGCCCCCUUUGCCUUUAAAACCUAACCUCCCUCUCUAUCACUUAUUCAAUCACCAAACCAAAAACCCUCUUCUUUCUCAUUCUCAUUUCUCACCCUCCAUCUUUUUUAGCAACUACAAAAUUCUCAUAGGUGUAUACCUUUGUGUUCCUCAAAGAAAACAAAAAAGAAAAACAUGCCUCCAGCCAUGCCAGAUUUCUCUAACACAUUGAAGCUCAAGUAUGUGAAACUUGGUUACCAAUACCUUGUGAACCACAUUGUCACCCUCACCCUUGUUCCCAUUAUGGCUGCGAUUUUCAUUGAGGUACUACGUUUAGGUCCUGAUGAAAUA